GUCGGUAUGGCGGAAUUGGUAGACGCCCUGGUUUUAGGUACCAGUGUCGAAAGACGUGUAGGUUCGAGUCCUAUUACCGACACCA
rnacentral:tRNA from 8 species